rnacentral:ncRNA from 1 species
UAGCCCACCGGGGCUGCGGAUACCUGCUUUUAAUUUUU